CAGUGUGUCUCAGGUAGAUGACCGCCGGUCAGUGUGUCUCAGGUAGUUGACCGCCGGUCAGUGUGUCUCAGGUAGAUGACCGCCGGUCAGUGUGUCUCAGGUAGAUGACCGCCGGUCAGUGUGUUUCUGGUAACAUCACACUCAGGUGCUUUAAACACAAGCUUUGCACAUGAGCUUCUGAUGACCAGCACAGAAGAAGGACUCUUGCCUUCUUAGAACCAAAUACAUAUCUCAGAUAUUUUUUAAAAGAAAAAAUAUAUACUUGCAUUAUAUGAAAUAUGAAUCAUUAAUGAUAUUUGUAGCUUCCGCUUUAGCUGCCUUCAUUCGCUGCAGGAGCUUUGUUCGAUCUAUAAUCUCCAGGAUCGAUGGAUUAUGGGAUGCACGCUGGGGUUUGGGUCUGGUGUAUGUCACUGAACUUCUGACAGUAGGGAAACUACUCAAAGAGGGUUAUUUGCACUAAAACGGAUCUUUGUGUUGUGAAAUGACUUGUUCAUUAUGAAUGUAAAUCCUCACUAUUUUCUUUACAUUUUAAAUAUUAAAUACUUUACAAAAGUUAUAUAUUUUGUUUGUUUUAUGUAAAAGGUCAAGCUGCCUUAGUUUGUUUUAUUUUUUUGUAACUAUUCUCAGGAAAUCUUGAGCCAUGCACUAAGUGCAUAUGCAAAUAUUAAUUUAUUGUAAAUAUUUGUGCUUGGAAAUAUGAACGUCCUGUUGUUAAGUUUCUUUACAUUUGUAGUGUUUAUUGAUUGCUGUUAUUGAAUCUGAGUUGUUUUAUAUCAAAAGCACAGUUUUGAUUCUGUUUGGGGUGAAGGGACGAGGUUUAAUCAGGGUUUAUUUGUGUUCUUUCUCAGCAAUGGCAAAUACUUUUGCAUAUUGUACAAAUAAAGAGCAAAAUAAACAAAGAUUUAUGUA